rnacentral:rRNA from 1 species
ACCGAUAGCGAACAAGUACAGUGAUGGAAAGAUGAAAAGCACUUUGAAAAGAGAGUGAAAAAGUACGUGAAAUUGUUGAAAGGGAAGGGCUUGCAAGCAGACACAACCUCGUGUUGGGCCNGCAUCGGGGCGAGAGGAAGNNAAAACGAUUUGGAAAUGUAACUUUCGAGUAUUAUAGACCUUAUCCCUCCCUUCNNUCUCAUCCNNNGGCUNCGGUAUAUCCUAGGAUGCUGGNNUAAUGG